UACGGAGGAUCCAAGCGUUAUCCGGAUUUAUUGGGUUUAAAGGGUGCGUAGGUGGCCUGGUAAGUCAGGGGUGAAAGACGGUAGCUCAACUAUCGCAGUGCCUUUGAUACUGCCGGGCUUGAAUACAGUUGAAGUGGGCGGAAUGUGACAAGUAGCGGUGAAAUGCAUAGAUAUGUCACAGAAACACCGAUUGCGAAGGCAGCUCACUAAAGUGUGAUUGACACUGAGAGACGAAAAGCUAGGGGGAGCAAAUGGG
rnacentral:rRNA from 1 species